rnacentral:rRNA from 1 species
AUUGAACGCUGGCGGCGUGCCUUACACAUGCAAGUCGAACGGCAGCACGGGAGCAAUCCUGGUGGCGAGUGGCGAACGGGUGAGUAAUAUAUCGGAACGUGCCCGGUCGUGGGGGAUAACGUAGCGAAAGCUACGCUAAUACCGCAUACGAUCUACGGAUGAAAGCGGGGGAUCGCAAGACCUCGCGCGAUUGGAGCGGCCGAUAUCAGAUUAGGUAGUUGGUGAGGUAAAGGCUCACCAAGCCGACGAUCUGUAGCUGGUCUGAGAGGACGACCAGCCACACUGGGACUGAGACACGGCCCAGACUCCUACGGGAGGCAGCAGUGGGGGAAUUUUGGACAAUGGGCGCAAGCCUGAUCCAGCAAUGCCGCGUGCAGGAUGAAGGCCUUCGGUUGUAACU